rnacentral:rRNA from 1 species
UACGUAGGGUGCUAGCGUUGUCCGGAUUUAUUGGGCGUAAAGGGCUCGUAGGCGGUCUGUCGCGUCGGCUGUGAAAACCCGGAGCUCAACUCCGGGCCUGCAGUCGAUACGGGCAGACUGGAGUUCGGCAGGGGAGACUGGAAUUCCUGGUGUAGCGGUGAAAUGCGCAGAUAUCAGGAGGAACACCGGUGGCGAAGGCGGGUCGCUGGGCCGAUACUGACGCUGAGGAGCGAAAGCGUGGGGAGCGAACAGG